rnacentral:ncRNA from 1 species
UGGUAGAGGACGCGGAUAGGAAAAGUACCCCUUAGCAUAACGCCGGUAAGCGGCUAUGGGGAAAAGGCCGUUCCGCCGAAGCUUCCCUGCGGUUGCCGCCGCUCGGUUGCUGGGACUGCGUUUAAUAAGCGCGGUACUGUCACUUUUUUGUGGAGAGCUAUCAU